UGUAUUUCUAUAUUGUCCUCAACAAUAACGUGAACAUUGUAAGAAAGGUCUAUUAUAUCUGUACACAGAGAAGAAAGAAAAAGUAUUCCUUCUACUUUGUGAUCUGUAUCAUCUCUGCAAAAUACUCUGUGAAUGUGGGCUUUAUUUCGAGAACAUUGAUUGUCGGUCAACUUUUACAAUGUAGAAUCUACUUUACAAGAAGUGUUGUGACCAGACAUGCUAUGCUCAUCAGCGCCACCGUCCAGUUCUGUGUUGGCAAGUGGUAACUUUGCUUCUUAUCAGAAGGCAGUGACGAUGACGAAGGCACAUGCAAUCGCCAUUUUCUUUUAGACUUUCCUUCUUUCUUCAUUCGUGUUUACAUUGACUAUGCUAUGAAUUUGCUAGUUUUGCCACUGUAAUUUUAAUAAAAUAACACUUAUAGGGGUUGCUCUGCACCAAAUUAUUGUUACAAUGAUGCCAAAGGCUUUCGCACGUUUCGUUUUCCGUCUAACGUACAUUAUAGACGUACCAAGUGGAAACCAACUUCCGACUUCUAAGACUAUGUGAGGAACGAAAUAUUGAUUCAUUAUUUAGGGUGUGUGCACAAAAGUAAAUCGAGGUUGAGUAGUAAAGGAAAGUGCUAAAAAAUCGUAAUUCUGCCUCCUGAAGUAUAUCUUCCAUUUUGUUUACUAUAUUUAAUUCGUGGAUAAAAGUUGACUAUAAAAAAAAUAUUAAAACUUCAAGGGACAUUUAUCAGACAUUACAAAACUCUGUUGAUAUUUUCAAUUUCUAUCAUGGAUAUGUCACUGGCUACCGCUGGCCUUGAUUUGGCACGCAGUGUGGACGCAGCCAUGGACCAACGCAGCCAAGCUUACCAGGCUGGGCCAGCGACUCGACCAAUAUGUGGAAGCAGGACUGAAAUUUUUAAACAGGUAUGAUGAUUAUGAUUUUUGAAGGGACGGAUUCAAGGAUCCAAAGGUUCAAAUAACCCCACACGUCAACCGAAGCUUAUUGUGUUCCCAAGUAGUAUAUUAGU